UACCGAGGUCCCAAGCGUUAAUCGGAAUCACUGGGCGUAAAGGGCGCGUAGGCGGUCUGUUAAGUCCGAUGUUAAAGACUGGGGCUCAACCCCAGCAUUGCGUUGGAUACUGGCAGGCUUGACGGUUGGAGAGGCGAGUGGAAUUACCAGUGUAGCGGUGAAAUGCGUAGAUAUCAGGAGGAACGCCGGUGGUGUAGACGGCUCUCUGGACCAUUACUGACGCUGAGGUACGAAAGCGUGGGUAGCAAACAGG
rnacentral:rRNA from 1 species